CCAAAUGACCAUAACUUUUUUUUUUUUUUUUUUUUGCAUGUACAACAUCAGGGUUAAAAUGUUAUAAAAAGCUUAAUUUUAAUCUAAAGCCUUAGAAGAAAAAUAGACCAUUUUCUAUUUACUACUGUUUAGUGGCGAGGGAAUUUUGUUUGUUCAUUUGUUUGUUUUGGUAUUGUCAAAAAGUGCCUUCCUGUCUCUAAUACUUCAGGCUCCUGUACCAAGAAUUAAGCUUUCACAAUUCUACAUAUGAAAACCCUUGACAAUUUUUACUCUAUAAAAAGUUUGGUGAGUGGGGCAGAAAGGAAUUUCAAUAACAAAAGAAGGAGUUGAAUUACAGUGUUGCUCAUUUUGGGGAAAUGCAAAACCUUGUUUUCCAUUCUUUCGUUUUUCAAAUCCUCCUUACAGAUAUGAAAAACAAAAACUAGUAGUAUUACAGGGGAGAAGAACAGAAGUAAAUGAGUACAAAUGCUCAUUUUGUUACUUCCUCCCAGCCUCUUGUGCCUGAAAUAAGAGGGUUCUCUCUGUUCUAACAGGUUGCUUUGCCUGUCUUCCCCUUUCUUCUGUCUUCCUAUUUUUCUACUUUCCCAGCUUGUUUGCAGUGGGGGAGAGGAGAGGAAGAAAGGAAGAAUUUUAUUUUAUUUUAUUGCGGGGGGGAGGUAGAGGGUGGAUUUCCACAUGGUAUCAUGUUAAGUUGAAGGGAAUUCCCUAAAAUUUGUAUCCAAAAUUUAACAUUUUGAGGAAAAGACAUUCUGCAGAAAGACUUCUGAGGCUUGUAAUUGCAUUGGAAAUGUGAAAACAUUUUGGGCUCAAACGCAUUUUAACAGAUCAUUAAUUUGUUUUCAAAUGCUCUGGCAUGCACUGGAAUUGAACUAACAACCUGUUGUUUUUUCAGCCCAAGAAUCCUUCAGUGCUGAAGCUCUGGAUUCUCUUCAUGUAGCAUAAACAUGUUUCUCUCCUGGAAAUCUGGCAGCAAUUCAGCAGCAGCUACAUAACAAGAAAGGGAGUGCAGGUUACUGCAAGUCUUUGGAAUCCCAGAACUUGGUGUCAACUGCUGCUUUUUGCUUCACUACAUAGAACUUCGUGGCAGUAGUGGGGAUAAAACUGGGAUCCUCUGUUUUAGAUCUUGAACUGUGCCUUGGUGCUCUUAAAGAAGAGAUUCCAGCUUUAUCCUGUAGACCAUGAGAAACACACAUGGUAGUUUAUUAUGGUAUGAUGCCUACAAGAAAUCUAAGAAGAUUUAAUGUGAGUAGAAUGUAACUUCCAACCAUGAAAUUAGCCCUGACAGCACAUCAGCACAUUUGCUCUCAGAAAGCAUGGCUAGUGUAUCUAUCACAUUGAAAAAAUUAGACCAGAAAGGUGUGCCAAAGACUUGACCCACUUAGAGAGCUUUCAUGUUCCUUGAAAAUCUAGUCAUGCUGAUUUAGUGUUAUCUUUUUUUAGCUUAGGUGAUCUAAUGAAGGCAAACUAAUAGGGUUGCUUCAGCCAUGUAGUGUUGCCCAGUUCUAUUAAGAUGAUACACAGAAAACAGUGUCACAACUAAGCAAACAACUUCAAAGGAAAAGUCAAAGUAGCCAUUAAAAUUCAGUUACCAUAUUCUCUGCUCUCUUAGUAAUAUUAAAGGAAAGGUGUGACUCAGUUCAAAAAUGAGCUGUUAGGGUCCCUAAAAUAUAUCAUUUUAUGUCAGGUAAAUUUUCACUGCUAGUCAACUCUGAUAGUUUGCAGGGAGACAUGUAAGAAAGUUUCAGUAAUUGAAUGCAAAAAGAAAAUUCCAUUUCCUUUUCAGGUUGAUGCAUUUUUCCUAGUAUGCUCACAGCAAAGCCCCAAUUCCGUGACUAGGAUUACACUGAUGGCAGACUUCCAUUGCUGCUGUGUCCAGUUGCAAAAGCAGUCAUGGGUUUCAACAUGCACACUUCUACAAAGGGAAUUGUGGCUCCUAUGUGAUAUGCAAACUUGUAUGGAGUGUAGGUGUACUUAAAUGUUAUCACAGUAAUCAAAGCAUUGCACGUCCAACAAGUCAGUCAGCCUUUUGCUGCAACUUCAAUUCUGCCGGCAUGCUACACUGAGAAACCAGCUUUGGGUAUCCUUUGAAACGUAUACAUAUAUGACUUGAGCUAGAAAACUCAAAAUACCCUCAAGAUCUACUGAUGUUUAGGGGAACUGCAGAAGCCCAGUACCUUUGAAAAUCAAACUACUGCUAAACACACAUUAAUUACAACAUUAAGCACAUUUUUGUUGGGGAAAGAAUAAAUUGAGAGUGGUAAGUGGCUGGUGAUAAAAGAUGAAGAAAUGUAUGGUGAUAAGGAAGUAGUUGGAUCCUUUCCCUUCUUUCCACACGUUCUGCUGGCUUACUUGUUUUGUAUAUAAUAGUUCAAGGACAUUAAUUCAAAGAAAACAACUUUUAUGAAAUGUGAAGAAUCUUGGAGAGUACCAGCUGGAUGCCAUUGCAACUUGUUUUUUAACCAUUAUCUUUCAAGCAGACUUUUUAAGUGAGCACCAAAAAUUGAGCUAGGCUGUAGCUAAGAUCCUUAUGAAACAGCCCUACCCUGAGAGCAUCACUCAAGCAAGAGCCCCUUCUGGCAGACUUAGUAAAUCAUUGCAGUUUGAGUUGGAGUAGUUACGUUUAAUGCAGGGGGAUGACGGUGAUAGAGAAGAGACUUGUAUGUGCAAAUCACUUGUUCCAGCCUGCUGCAAUAACUUCCAUGAUUCUGCCUUCUGUCCCCCGCCCCUCCAUUUCUGUGAAGGCCUGCUCCUAUUUCCUGCCUGCACAUAGCCUUGGAUGUUAUUUUCCCUGCAGAUCCCAUUUGUUCCAGGAAAACUGGGAAGCACUGAAGGUCUUUCCAGUUCUCUGCAAGGUUCCCUUUCAGGCUGAAGGUUCCAGGGGAUUUGGUUCACUCCAUUUUGUCAGGGUUUUUUUAAGACCAUGUAAUUGGGAUAUCACCCAGAGCAGAGUUUGUAAGAAGCUAACCCAUACCUUCCCUCCAGUCCUUGUGGAUCAAGCUUUCAUAUAUGGUCAUGUACCUUUGACAUAUCAAGGAUCAGCAUGUAGUGGUUAUCCUAACUAACGAUUAGAUUCAGCAACAGUGACUAGCAGCUUGUUUUCGCAGUGUCUACUUACGAAAGAGUCACUAUUUUGCUGCUUUUGCAAAGGAAAAAAAACAGGAAAAGGGCAACAAUUAUUAAAGACGCAGUUUCCUUUUGGGACUCAUCUUUGAGUUCACUGGACUUUGACCUGGGCUUUAAGCCUUGCUUACGCUGCCCUGCCUCUGUUCUUAGAAACAUGCUUCUAAUGGCUCCACCCAGCAGCUGUGCUGGCGGUGUGACGUGCCCUCUAGGAAGGCACCAGCUGCUGAACAGCCAGGGCAGCCAGCUGGAGUCACAGGAGUGCUUGUAUGCACCCCUGCCAGCUGCUGGAAAGCAGAAAUCUUAUGCUGCCCUGUUGAAGGAGUAUGCCGGUAACUGCCAGCAGAAGGGAGGCUUGUGUUACUGAAGAAGAGCAUUGGGUAUAGAGGCACUUGACGUUACCUGGCAGGAUGCCCAUGCUGCUAGCAACACUAGUGUAGACAAAGUAGUCAGGAACAUCUCACCACAGCAGCUUUAGUUGUCUACAAAAGUCUGCAACAGAGCUAUGCAAAACUAGAACUCUUGGUUCAGAGGCUAUACCUUUUAUGAGACCAACUGAAAAAUGAUCUUUCUUUGCAAACUUUUGGACCAACACGGCUACAAAAUACAUCCCUAUUGCACCCAACAGCUGACAUAGCUCUGCCAGCUAAAGUCCUGGAGUGGAUGCAAACAAUUCCGGCAGCCAAGAGCAGCUUCAACCAGGCAAACAAGUCAUUUGAGGAACUAGUGUAUGUAGCUUUGGCCACAAAAAAACUACUGCCUGCAGAGUUGUGUCCGCACCUAGGGAUCUAGCUUCCAUAGUGCUGGCAUGUUAAUUCGGCACAGCUUGAGAAAUCAUUCUGAUUUCUCCGGGAGGACUUUCCAUCAAACCACAGAGGAGAGCUGGAGCUAGCUAUGUGAAAAUGGGAAAGGCAGCAAUGUGGAUUGACUUGGAAUACAAUAAGCAGUUGCGUGAUGGGAUCUUUAUUGUGUUAAGAGCCCAUUUGUUUCUCCCUUGCCCUGAAAAUAUGCUCUGGAGAAAGGCAGUUCUAAAAGGCAAAUCAAGGAUAUUUUGUACACAUGGAAGCUGCCUUUGUAUGUGCAUGCAGCAGAACAAUUACAGUUGCUACUUGGAACAGUUUCUUAGAAACCCUUUUCUGUGGAGAAGGGAGGAGGAGGACCUUGUUGUUGGGUAAUGUUCAACCCACCCUUUAGCUUUCACUGUUGCUGGUGUUGCAGGUUGCUGACUAAGGGGUCAAUAGAGUGUCUUACAGCAUUUUUCCAAACUGGCUUUAUAGAGGUUGGGGCUGGGAGCAGCACUGGCUGCCUCCAUCCUAGGCACAUCAUUAGAUGGAAGCAUGUUGUGUACACAUCUCUAGCAACCCAGGGUGUUUAGGGAAUGGAAUGAGCAAGGUAGGAUGCUGUGGAGGGAGAGGGCUUUUUACACCAAAAUUAUGUAUAACUUGUUUUUUCAAGCUGCGCCCAACUAGCUUUUCCAUCUAAUAGCAAGGUCAAUGAGCAAAGGGGGAUGGGGAACAGAAAUUCGUCACAAGAAAAAGAUGGACAUAGAGUCAGAUCUUUGGGAGUGAACGACUUUGCACAGCUCAUGCUAUGAACAAAGGCAGCUGUGCCUUUGUGAACUUUCUCACCAUGUAAAUAUGCUUUUCUUUUUUUUGGCUAUGGUCUGAACAGCAGUAAAUUUUGUACUAUGUUCUAAUUAAGCUUUCUGCUGGUGGGGGAACAACCGAAAAAAAAGCAUACCGAGGAACUACAGAUCUUCAGAUGUAACAACUCCAGAAAGAAGAUUCACAAUACUUUGCCUGGUUUAGUGAAUGUCAACUAGAGUAGCAAGUAUGUGUACCAAAACCAUCACAGCCAUUAUUCAGCCUCUCAGCUUUAAUCUUCCCAGUCAGUCUAGGCCUGUGCGCUGUUUGCAGCAUGCACUAGCCCCACUCAAGAGUUUAGUCUGCACGUAGCAUGGGGCAUAUGUUACAUGCGGUGCCUGCACUGGAGCAGCCCUGCACACUGGCUUUGACAUGCACAGAGAGCCUGGGACCCAAUCCAGGCAUGCCCUGGAGGCAGGAUACAGGGCUGGAGCUCAUUGGGCUGGAUAAGUCUGAUACCCCUGUUUUAUUGUAUUAAUUGAAUUUAAUUAUUCUACAGUAACUAGUUUACCUGGACCUCUUUGCUCCCUGGAUUCUGCACAGUAGGACUUCCCAGAGUGUUAUUUCAUCUCUUUCUGAGGCUCUGUAUGCACAUCCUGCAGGACUUCUGUGCCUUUGUGAGGUGCUAUGGACAUCUGUCCAGAGUUCCCUGAAACCACUGGCAGAAGCACAGUUAGGCUGCAGUAUGGAUGCACAGAAUUUGGUGACAGGAAGGAGGGGUUAAUAUAUUGUAGUCCCCCUAAUAUAUUGUGGCCUGAACUUAAAUAGAAGUUUGUCCAGCUGCCACUCUGUGCUGGUGGGGCUGGGUCUUCAGCCUGAACAGUAUUGAUGCAUGCCUUUUAGAUUCACAGAUCCUGGCUCUGAUCCUGUACGUUGCCCUAUUACUGUAUUUACUCAAAUUCAAGAUGAGAUCUCUCCCCCUCAUUUAGCAUGGGAGGAAGCCGCUUGUAUUUGAGUACAGGGGGAGUGGCAGGCGGCUGGUGUAUCUCUAACUCCGGUGCCAAGUCCAGUUUGGAGCCAGAGGCAGACUAGCUGCCUGCCCCCUUACAGUCAGGUGCAGCUCCAGCUCCAUUUCCUCUCAUGCAUGAAGCAGAUGAAAACUCAAAUUUAUAGUUUUCCAUAUAUAGAAUCUAACUGGGCUGUUGUCUCAAAUUUGAAGUAAUCUUGGAUUCAGUUAAAUACGGUAUAUAUAUUUGCAUUGUGGAAAAAGCUACUAUAUGGACCCAAUUGAAGGCUUAAGCAGACAUUAUUUUUGACUUGCUACAGGUAUUGUGGAAUUGUAUAUCCCUUUGGAAACGUAGCACAACAUGCAUGACUUCAAUUUAUAGCCCCCUGGUUGGAGUGUGGCAGUCAGCACAAAGGCAGGCUCUCCAUCCAGGGGGCAAUGAAGUGCUGCUUCUUAACUCCCCCAUCUCCAGGGGAGCCUGUCGGUAGCAGGACAGGCUCACUCACAGGCUUGCCCAUCAGCUGUUGCUACUGUACCCGCAAGCUGCCUGCUGGAAUAAGCCUGGGAUGGUAGG